GACGAACGCUGGCGGCGUGCUUAACACAUGCAAGUCGAACGAAGAAGGUUAGAAUGAGAGCUUCGGCAGGAUUUCUUUCCAUCUUAGUGGCGGACGGGUGAGUAACGUGUGGGCAACCUGCCCUGUACUGGGGAAUAAUCAUUGGAAACGAUGACUAAUACCGCAUGUGGUCCUCGGAAGGCAUCUUCUGAGGAAGAAAGGAUUUAUUCGGUACAGGAUGGGCCCGCAUCUGAUUAGCUAGUUGGUGAGAUAACAGCCCACCAAGGCGACGAUCAGUAGCCGACCUGAGAGGGUGAUCGGCCACAUUGGGACUGAGACACGGCCCAA
rnacentral:rRNA from 1 species